AUUGAACGCUGGCGGCAUGCUUUACACAUGCAAGUCGAACGGUAACAGGGUGCUUGCACCGCUGACGAGUGGCGAACGGGUGAGUAAUGCGUCGGAACGUGCCGAGUAGUGGGGGAUAACGCAUCGAAAGGUGUGCUAAUACCGCAUACGUACUGAGGUAGAAAGUGGGGGACCUUCGGGCCUCACGCUAUUCGAGCGGCCGACGUCUGAUUAGCUAGUUGGUGAGGUAAAGGCUCACCAAGGCGACGAUCAGUAGCGGGUCUGCGAGGAUGAUCCGCCACACUGGGACGGAGACACGGCCCAGACUCCUACGGGAGGCAGCAGUGGGGAAUUUUGUGCAAUGGGCGCAAGCCUGAUCCAGCCAUGCCGCGUGUCUGAAGAAGGCCUUCGGGUUGUAAAGGACUUUUGUCCGGGAGCAAAUGCCUGGUGUUAAUAGCACUGGGAGCUGAGAGUACCGGAAGAAUAAGCACCGGCUAACUACGUGCCAGCCGCCGCAGUAAAAC
rnacentral:rRNA from 1 species